CCACGUACGAACCACUUUUCCGGUUCUCAGUCUGUCGAAAGAGAAAGAACUGGUUCGUGAUUAAGCACCGGCUCCGAACCGACACCCAAAAUGCAUUGGUGGAAAAGGGGUAUGUGACUCCACAUUAGUUGGAGCGCUGAAGUUCAAAAACACAAACACAGCUUUGAGAUGGAUCCCAAGCCACGGUGGACAACAAAAAAAGGACCAAUAAAGAGACUACUUUUCUUCCUCUGCCACAACCACAACCAGUGACUGCAACAUCCCAUUGUUAGACAGAUUAUCCUACCACCGUCACACGGCCUAGCACUGUGUCCCUGGGAAAUGAUGAUGCCAUACCCUUAGGUGUCAACUCUGGUCUGGUGGAGGAGAACCCAUUGGGGGCCCAGAAAACAGCUGGCAGCCAGGCAAGUGCAAAUAUAAGACACUCAAAAAAAUACUCAAAGCUUUUCAAUAGCAUUGCCAACUCAUUGUAAGGCAUACCUAAGUUGUUCUGAUCGUGGUGGGGGGAUACAUAUUUGUCAAAACAACAAAUGUUUUCAUACUAAUGCUUUGUAUACAACCAUUCAAGGUAACAUUUGUUAUUUACAUCAAUGUUACAGCUAAUAUAGAAGAACCACAGUGUAUGCCAAUCAUGCAAACUCUUGUAAACUCUUUUUACUUGUCUUUAAUGACAGACACAUUACAGGUUAUCAUCCGGAAGAUGGAGACAUUGAAGGAGAACCAGCAAGAGGCUCUCCUAUUCAGUCGACUACAGGGCAGACACACUGAAGAGGUGCCAGUGAUGGACCUACAGGUGGCCCAAACACAGGCUGAACUCCAAGACCUUGAGGAGCGCCUUAAGGUGCUGGAGCCGAGUGCACCAGCUGGGCGUAAAAAAACGCUGUGAUGAAGUGGAAGACGGGACUGGGAGAGAAGGCUGUGGAGCUCCUCAUAGCGGAGACACUCAAACAAGCCCCGGCAGGCCAUUCAAAACAAGUCAGUCAGGGCAAACAAACAGGACCUGUAGCGGGGACUGGCAGAAGAUUUUAAUUCACUGUUUGGCACUUUGUUUGAAAUAAAAUGACUGAAUGUUAC